rnacentral:lncRNA from 1 species
AAAUACUGGAACGAAGCCUGGGACUCUUGGACUUUUUAAGUAGCUGGUUUGUCUUUCCAAAGCAAUUUAUCUAAAUAGGCCAACACAAUCAAAUUACAUGGGAUUCUAAAUUCAUUCCAUUUCCCAGUCUGACAUCUUAAUUAGAACUUUUGAAAAAUAAUGAUUACCUUUCGGCUCCCAAAAUUACACAAAGCUUUCUUAAAAAAAAAAAAGCCAGUGAAUAUCACUGACCGCCACACAAAGCUAUUUGUUUUGUAAAGUUGAUCAGACUUUCCAUUGGCACACAUCCUGGCAAAAAAAAAGAAAAAGCUGUGAGGAGGAAUACAAUUUAUGCUGGUUCAAAAAGACAAAAGCAGAGAAUCACUGAUAGUUCCAGUUAUGAUCUUUAUCUUGCAUAAAACCUUUCUUAUCCACCUUUGUCUGAAACAGUGCCUUUUAAAAGCAUUUCUUUUCCAAUAUAGUGUAACCUAAUUGGGUUACACAAUAUUGUAAUUUAAAUUAUCAUGAUGAUUGCAUUGCCUUUUCCACACUGCUUCCAACUGAACUGCUUUUCUGCAGGGACUGUGUAAGUGGAGCUAUUGCUGUUAAGUGUCACUUUGACCUUUUUCUGUAUUCGUAUAUAAAUUGCCUUGUGUGCCUCAAAGUGGACUAUCAUCUGUGAAUGAAUGAGGAUAAAUAUUCCAACACUAUCAGAAACAGAAGACUUCAGAGUGUGCAAAAGACAAACAGCAUCAGAGCUAAGGGAUGAGGAUUUAACAAAGUGUGAACUAUCAUUACUACCUCCCUGUGUUUUCUGUGGGUUGUUACAGUGAUAUAAGUUUUAGAUACCUUAAAAACCUCUCAGGUGCACAGCCAGCUGGUUUGCACCACUCUUUAAAAAUAAAAAACCCACAAUUUCAAUGUUGUCAGAAUUGCAAAUGUUUCUUUUGGUGUUUUGUUCCAGUUGUGCUUGUGCGAGAGUCUAGAUAUUGAAAGAUGGACAUUUUCUUUAAAGAUAGUUGCAUCUGACCACAACUUAUAUCAAGACUCCAUUACUCAAAGUAAAGUGAGUACAAUUUGCUAGAGAUUUAAAUUUGUUAAGUAUUAGUUCAGUUAGCAGUUUUGGUGCAUAAGAACAAGGCUCCAUUCAGUGGAAAUUAAAUUAGAAGUUUCACUCCAGCAUGACAAAUGCUCAGCAGCCCCUAAGAGACAUCACCACCAAGAACUGGGCUUUUAGACAACUUCAAGCAUAUUCAUGACCACUUUCAUUCUAGGUGACCAAAAAUGAAUAUAGUCUGGCAAAGCAGACAUCUGAGAUGUAGGAGUCUUAGAACCAAAUGCUUUGAUCUAUAGAUCCUUUUGUAUUGCUUGCUAAUGUAGACAUAUCCUGUGUGAUUUAGGGAAGUUUCAGCUGCUCUGUCUUUGAGCAGUUCUUCAUUUAAAGUAAUUGGCAAUAUUUACUUUGAAUACUACUUCUUGAAUACUACUUCCACCUUCACAGAUACAUGGUACUGUUCAAUUACAAACCACCUGAACGAAAAUAAGAAGCAUCAGAGUUUUGAUGCUCUCUGUGUAGAGACCAUAAUACAAAUCAAAUCCUAUAGUCUUUAUUUGCUUGUUGCAAUUCUGUGGUCAUACUUCUUUUAUUGCACUGAAGGUUCAUAUUUCAUUUCCAUUAUGACAGCUAGAGUUAUGCCCAAUAUUUUCCAUUAAAGUUUCAGAUUAUUUUGCACCAUAAGACAGCAUCAUUUGGAUCUUAUGACAAAUUAAACAGUAUUCAGAAGAAAAAAGGUCAGUACCAUACAUUUCUCUGAUUUCUGCCUUGUAGUUUAGUUGACCC